ACAAGAAGUGCACUGGGUUCUUUGAAAGAAAAUGAAUGUGCCAGAGAAGUUACUGCAAGUGGUCUACAUUCCGAGUUACUUGAGCUGGACUCCAUGCCUGCCAGUGCUCUGAAGUAGUCAUCUGAACAAAAUGUAGUUCGUUUUUACCAUGAAAUGAACUUGCUGGAGUAGAGCAUAACCUCUAGAAAUAAAUGUUUAAGGAAUUUGCUUAUUACAGAUAAAGAACUAAAACCACCAUUAAGACAACUCCUGCAGAGCCUCUGCUUGAGCAUGAGAUAAAAGUCAAAGAUGUAGAAAACCGAAUCUUAAAGGAAAACCUCAAUAUCUCUGAGGAAACUUGCAGAAUUCGCCAAGUAAUCAACAAGUACUUAAUGAGGGCCUACUAUGAACGCAGCAUGAUGUUAAUAAAAUUCACACUGGGCCAGCAAAGAGUUAAAGGACUUACAAGAAGUCCAAAGGAGCUUUUCUGCUAAAACAGCAACACGGCCUUUUAUUGCCACUGAAAUGACCGCAUUGGAACUUUGUGACUUGUUCCUUUAAUUGGUGCCAACGGGCCAGCCCCCUGGAACAGAAGCUCUUUGAAGGCCAGCCUACUGGUGAUUACCAACACAAAAAAGAGAGUCAGGACAAGAUGCAGGAACAUAACCAACUGCAGCACUAAUGGGGAAACUACAACAGC